AUGUUACGUCACUCAUCGCAUUUUCAGGUUAAAGCUACAGGUUACGAACAUUAAAAAGUCAUGUUUCUGGCUUCUACAGUAAGGCAGCAAAAGACUAGAUGGAAACCUGGUGCUGCAGGUCCAGUGUGAAGAAAAGGCUGGAUGAAGCCCGUCUUUGCACAACUAUGAGUUCUCAAAGGCAACUUAAUAUGAAAUUGUCUCUUUCAUUGGAUAUUCAAAAAAGAAGACGUGUCUAAUGAUCUCAUAUCUGUAUGGUAAAUAUGAAGCUAUAGCCAGCAGCCGGUUAUCUUAGAUUAGCAUAAAGACUUUAAACGGGGGGAAAAAGCCUGGCUCACACAAAAAAUGACAUCUGAAACAAUGAAAGUUGUGGUUUUUAACAGGGGGGGUGUCUUUGGCGAUAGCCAGGCUAGCUGCUUUCCCUCCAGCUUUUAUGCUAAGCUAAACAAAUAUCCUCUGUUCAAAGGUUUAAAAAAAAUCAGCCUACCAGCACCUCUAAAGCUCACUAAUUAACACGUUAUAUCACACUUGUUUAAUCUGUUGAAAAACCAGUACCUCCGCACAUAGCCAGGUUAGUUGCUAAGCUAAGUGGCUGCUGGCUGAUGCUUCAUAUCUUUUAUUUAAAUAUUGGUUAGAGAUGGCUGCCCACUGCAAGAUUUAAGCCUAGUAAGAUAUAGCUGCACACAUUGCACCACAGCAGACACAGUUAUAUUACGGCAAAGACAUAGUUUUGUUGUCGUAGAUGGAUAAAGGGCUGUUUAUCUUGCUUAAAUCAAAUAUAUCAAAGUAAAGAAGACAUCUAUUCUUGCUUCAUAGUUCUUUUCUUCUGUGUAUUUGCCCUUGCAUAAAUGCUAUGCAUCAAGCUGGCUAAAUUGCCUUGCGUACCUGGAUAGAACACAUGCUCACACUGAGAUGGCACACUGGUACUGCAUGCAGAGAGGCAACACACACAUACAUGCAAAGGUACAUACAGAGGUAAACACACCUGCUGUGCAGAAUCUGAUUUCACACUUCCCUGCUAAUUUCUAUUGACUAACGUGAUCUAUCGAUCUCACACUGAUCACAGCUGAUGAUGUUAUGCGUACACGCUUGACUAACAGAAUGUGUGUUUACUGAGGGGCCACAAUAAGUAAUACACACCUCCAUUACCUGCUGAGUGUUUACAUUCAUGGGAGUCGUGUGUGUAUGUCCCUGUAUUUAUAGUGUGUGUGUGUCUGCUUCUACAUCAUACUGGCACAUCUAUAUUAAUCAGGGGGUUGCAAGUCAGUGUAGUAGCCCCUUUACUGUUUAUGUGACUGUGCUCCUCUGUCAUCCUACAUUACCCAUAAUUACCCACAAGAAAGAGACAGCACGGAUCCCCUGGGACAGAUGGGCUCACACAUACAGCACACAGACAAAAUAACAAAGAGAGGAGUCUCAUGCAGUAUCCUCUUAAUUACCUCCUCUUCAGAUGCAUCAUAUGUACUGUAGGAAAACACAAAUUGAUAUAGCUGGCGGCCAUCCCACUGCAAGCAUUACUGCUUGGUGUACUAGUUGGUAUGCUUAUCUCCAAUUCGUAGUCAAAGAAAUGAUAUAUGAUGUGGCAUGCCAGCGUUUAAGUAUGCUAGCAUGCUCAGCACAACCCGUGUGGGGCAGAAUUUUCGAUCGCAAUUUGCAUUCAUUUAAUCUCAGACCACUUUUUAGGCUGUCUUCACAGUAACAUAUGCAAUUAAUGAGAUGUAGUUCACAUACAGGAAGACCAAAAGAAACACAAGUGAUCUGUUAAAAUGAUGGCUUGCUGGCUUUCACGCACACAAUAUGUCUCAAUUACUGUUUCCCUUCUGAC